rnacentral:snoRNA from 1 species
UGCCCAGUGAUGAGACUCAUCCUUGCACGCCUGAGGCCCUACCCUGAUAGUGGUCUGGGGCAGUGGGCGACACUCUGGGUCCCCCAGGCAGGCCGGGUUUGGCCCGCCCCGGGGGCUGAGGGCA